ACGCUCGACACCUACGGAGGCAGCAGUGGGGAAUAUUGCACAAUGGGGGAAACCCUGAUGCAGCGACGCCGCGUGAAGGAAGAAGUAUCUCGGUAUGUAAACUUCUAUCAGCAGGGAAGAAAAUGACGGUAUCUGACUAAGAAGCCCCGGCUAACUACGUGCCAGCAGCCGCGGUAAUCUGAGCGGCUGGCAAGGC
rnacentral:rRNA from 1 species